rnacentral:rRNA from 1 species
GUGUCAGCAGCCGCGGUAAUACGGAGGAGGCAAGCGUUAUCCGGAAUUAUUGGGCGUAAAGCGUCCGUAGGUGGUUAUUCAAGUCUGUUGUUAAAGAGUGGGGCUUAACCUCAUAAAGGCAAUGGAAACUGAAAGACUUGAGUGCGGUAGGGGUAGAGGGAAUUCCCAGUGUAGCGGUGAAAUGCGUAGAUAUUGGGAAGAACACCGGUGGCGAAAGCGCUCUACUGGACCUGCACUGACACUGAGGGACGAAAGCUAGGGGAGCGAAAGGGAUUAGAAACCCGUGUAGUCC